CGAAUGGUUUCGCUGUAUUGUGAUAUUCAUGGCAAUGAAACAAAAAUUCGUUCGUGGCAAUCAUGCAUCCCUGUCUAUCUCACCCUCCUGAACUUUUUGAUGUUGGCUCAAAAUAAUUGGAUAUUCAUUGCAAUUAUUCUACAUUUUUUAAUAAGUUCGAUAGGGUUUGAUCUAUACAGAAACGCAUCGAUAAACUUAUGCAACAUCGAGAAUUCAACAGUUCGUCAAGCAUUACGUGACUUUUAACAUUUAACGCGCGUUGUUAUAUGAAAUAUUGAUUUGUAAUUGAAGACAAGGCGAAUUUCUCGAUGUUACGUGCUUAAAUAAAUGAAGAAUGACUUGAAAUCUUGGAAAGAGAGAAUAAGAUUUGUUUACUCGAAGAAGAACUUAUAUUCCAUCGAGAAGGACUGAUGAUAUUUUAUAAAAAAAAAAAAAAAUAACAGGUUCACAUAAAAAAACAUGUUACUAAACUAUAGAAAGAUUUGAGAUUCAUCUUUUUCAAUUGUCUUUCUUCGAUGAAUCAUUCUAUAUGAAUUAUCAUAUACUACAAUCUACAUGUGAUCAUAACACCUAAUAUGAAAACCAUUAUUGAGAAUGCUUGUUACAUGUCAAUCAAACUGCGACCUCCACCUCAGCUGCAAUAAUUAAUAUCUCCUAAAUAUUAUUUGUCAUUAUGGGCAAAAAAGCAAAAAAAUGAAAAGUCCUUCAAUUUUACACCAAAAAAUGAAAAAUCAAAAAUCUGAAGCGCAAGCGAAACGCAACGAAAAAUAUUGUUGCAUUCCAAUAUAAACUCGUCUAUGAAUAAUUUGAAUAACUAUCUUAAAAAAUACCACCAAAAAUGGCUCUUGUUGAACCAUGGAAAAUCGUGAUAUUCUCUCGACGAUCGUCUGACUACAUCGAUGAAGAUCCAAGCACUAUAUAAGCACUAGAUGCAUAUGAAAUCAUUGCUUUCGUUGAUGAUGAGGAAAAUGGAUUAAUACCGUGGCACGAGUAAGUGCAUUGAGUAUGAUUUGAACCCUUAUAUACUUGGGUUUGAUUUUUAUGUAUCUUUUGCAGGUAUUGUACAAUACAAACCAAAAGAUAUGAAAUUAGAUAACUUAAACAAUUUAUAAUCUUGAUAAUGAUAUAUUAUAUAUAAUGACAUAUAUAUAUCAUCAUAAUUAUUUGAUUAAAAAUAUAGUAUAUAUAUAUAUACUAUAUUUUUAAUUAAAUAAUUAUGAUGAGUGAAAAAUCAUUUUAUAAUCAUUUUAUAAUUCUUUAUGAAAAAAUUUACAAAAUUUGAAUUGAAAAAAUUAGUAUAAUUUUAUGCUUUUGGUUGAUAAUGUACCAUUUAAAGUGAAUAAUUAGUUCAAUUAUUUGAAGAUACUAAUCUAAAUUUUAAAAUAGAGAUAUGACUUUAUGCAAUAUUAAGAAAAUACCAAAAAUUAG